GGGCAGGUGUCCGAGCGGUCGAAGGAGACAGUCUUGAAAACUGCUGACUUUCGGGUCCGCGGGUUCGAAUCCCGCCCUGCCCG
rnacentral:tRNA from 1 species